rnacentral:lncRNA from 1 species
GUACGAUAAGAGUGAUAGUUCUUUAAAAAAAUUAACAGCAUCAAUGUCUGGUUUAUGGUAUUGAUAAUACUGAAGAUUCAUGAUUAUAAAGAGCCAAGGUUUUUAACACAACUGUAAUUUCAUUCUUCAAUUUUAGUCCUUUUUCUUUCAAUUCCAUUAUUUUAUUUCUUCCACGAGCAGGUAAACAUGCCUCAAAAUUUGCAUUCCAUAGAGCAGUUUUUCUUUUUGAAGGGUAUAGUCAGUCAGUCUACAAAAAAGCACUGCCACGAAGCUAAAUCGUUUUAUUGUUUGAAAGGGCAAAUGUUCCAUUGCCACACAGAAUGUAAAAAGAAAAUAAUCAACAUUAGAUUUUAAAUGCAGGUAGUUAUUUCAGAUGUUUGAACCAUAAACAAACAACCAUUGCUGAAAAGCUUCUUAAAAGCUUGAAAUUCAGAACUUCAGGGUAUCAAAAAGUCAGAAGAAUAGCAAAAUCAAAUGUUGACUUCUAACCUGCCAGGAAGCUAUAUUAUUUUCUCAUUUCAACAAUGUCCAAGCCCAUAAAAGUUAAUUGCAAGAAUUUAGGUAUAGUUUUAAAAUCCCAUGUCCUCUUUUACUAUUAAUAGAAUAAUGCUUACCUUUGCUUUUUAUUCUAGAAAUGUUUUCUUAGUGUUAAGUGUAGCCCUUAAUAAAUGAGGCUUUAUUUUAGCCGAUCAUCCUCCACUGUGAAAUCAGCCCUGCAACGUAUCUUGUUUAGGUUCGUACAGAAUUUAAACAAUAUUUUCCAUGUUAAUUAAAGUAAAUAAUUAUUUUACUUUCAGAGCAAACAAAAGAGAAAUCAACAUUUCUUUGUUUGCUGGUGUCUGGAUGUUUUUCCCCGGGAAUAUCUGAAUCAAGACUAUUUGGACUCAGU